CACCAAAUGGACCUCUUGACUUUCUGUAAAAUCCAACAUGAUGCCAUGCAUCCUGAAUGAUUUGUUCAAGAAUGAAAGUUGAUUUUGAGGAAACAGUGGCCUAAUUUGACCAUUAAGGAUGUCAGGCUGAGUCUGACUCUUAGAUGAAGUAAAGGGUGUGACUUGUUCCAUCAAAGUCAUCCCAGAAGGCUUGAUCUCCAAGUCAGACGAAAAGGUCAGUAACCUGGUGUCAACAGUUUGAGACAGCUUGGGUUAUAACUCGAAGAAAUAAUCGAAGUCAGCAAGAAAAAACAAACCCAGACCAUUCUGUUGCUUGUAAGUGAAGGAAUUCAGUUGUCUUAUGUGUUGUAACUGACACGAUUUGACAUGCUCAUUUUUUUUUUUUAAGUCUUUGGGUUUUGAAUAAUUGCUUCUUGCCGAAAGCCUAUAUUUUCUGUACUCUGUGGUUGCCAAGCUGUACUCGACUUUUAAAAGAGAGUCAAAGGAACGUAUCCUUGUGAGAAAUUGCUGCUUUGUGGAGUGCAAAUGAGAGGUUCCAUGAUCUUUGAAGCUAGGAAGGCCAAAUCUGGCUUAGAAACCCCAUUGCCAGGCUGCAUUUUAUAUUCUUCAUUGCUUUACUAAACUGAACUGUCCUUUUGUUGGAAGUGGGGGAAAGAAAGAUGUAGUGGAGAACUGGGGUUUAGAUAAGUGAUUCUUCCCAUCUGGCUCUGAAAGCAGAAAGUUCUUCUUGACCAUUCCAGUCUAGAAGUCAGAAUGUCAGAGUAUUCUCACUCUAGACCAGUGCUUCUCAACUAGGGAAGCUUGUGUCCCCAGGGGCCAGAAGGCAAAGUCUGGAGAGAUUCUUGGUUGUCAUAACUGCAGGGGAGUGUGCUUCUGACAUGUAGUGGCUAGAGACCAGUGAAAGUGAAAGUGUUAGUUGCUCAGUCAGGUCUGACUCUUUGUGACCCCAUGAACUGUAGCCCGUCACGGGAUUCUCCAUCUGUGGGAUUUUCUAGGCAAGAAUACUGGAGUGGGUUGCCGUUUCCUUCUCCAGGGGAUCUUCCCCACCCAGAGAUCAAACCCAGGUCUCCUGCAUUUCAUGUGGAUUCUUUACCGUCUGAGCCACCAGGGACACCCCGGCUCGAGACCAGAGAUGCUGUUAAACAUCCCACAUCGCACAGGACAGCCCCCGACAGCCAAAGGUAUUCAGGUUCAUUUCUCACAAACUACAAGGGAAAGAGACCAGGGCUAAAUUCAAAGACAAGAAUUCAACUCCCAAUACAACCACUGCCAGUUGUAAGAAUUUGCCUUAAUAACCUAAUCUCACUGAAACACUGAAUUUUCAUUUAUUUAAUAGUCUCUAUCACCUCUGAUGUUGCUGUUCGGUCAUUCAGUCAUGUCUGACUCUUUGCAAUCCCAUAGACUGUAGCAUGCCAGGCUUCUGUCCUUACUGUCUCCUGGAGCUUGCUCAAACUCAUGUCCAUUGAGUUAGUGAUGCCAUCUAACCAUCCCAUCCUCCCCUUCUCCUUCUGCCUUCAAUCUUUCCCAGAAUCAGGGUCUUUUCUAAUGAGUCAUCUCUUCAUAUUAAGGUGGCCAAAGUAUUGCAGUGUCAGCUUCAGCAUUAGUCCUUCCAAUGCAUAUUCAGGGCUGAUAAUACUUUAGGAUUGACUGGUUUGAUCUCCUUGCUGUCCUAGGCUCUCAAGAGUUUUCUCCAGUACCACAGUUGGAAAGCAUCAAUUCUUUGGUACUCAGCCUUCUUUAUGAUCCAACUCUCACAUCUACAUGUGAUUAUUGGAAAAACCAUAGCUUUGACUCUGUGGACCUUUGUUGGUAAGUGAUGUCUUUGUUUUUGAAUAUGCUGUCUAGUUUUGUCAUAGCUUUUCUUUCAAGGAGCAAGCAUCUUUUAAUUUUGUAACUGCAGUCACCAUCCACAGUGAUUUUGGAACCCAAGAAAAUAAAAUCUGUCACUGUUUCCACUUUUUCCCCCAUUUAUUUGCCAUGAAAUGAUGGGACCAGAUGCCAUGAGCUUAUAUCUGCAAUUCAUCCUCUGUGUAUACUUUAAACUUCGUCAGAGAGGACUCUGUUUUAGGAACUGUGGAUCAAUCUCUGUUUUGUUCCUGGGGCAUUUGGAAGUGAAGCGGGGUGUUCAGCUGACUUGGUCAUUCUGCCACCAUACCCUGCUUCAGGUGUGUGUCUACAUGGCACAAAGGACCGCUGAGAUUAGGCGGCUAUCACUUUCAAUGAUACGGACCAAGCAGGUGGCCCUUCUUUUUGUUUAUUUGUUGUUUCUAACCUCCAGCUAACUGUGAAUGGACACUAGCAUUUUGUUCUAUCUCAUUUUGGAAUCUUGACCCCCAACUGGAAGAUACCCACCCAGCAGCCCCGUUCUGUCAGUGCUCAGUUUAUUUUAUUGCUAUCCACUGCUCCGAUUAAGAACUGUGUUCUCUACCCAGGUUAUCGGAGCAUGGGGAUGGUAGAAGCAAAGCCUUCUCAUCCCUUCAGGAUAUGCACAUUUUUUAUUUUAGAACCAUCAAAAUUAAAGACUGGAGAACACGUCUGAGCAUGAGUAGCUGAAUUCUUAGUAUAAGAGGUGAGAGAAGGCCAUGGAAGCGGCUGGCAGCAGACGAGGGACCAGAUCCCAGGGCCUACUGCUCUCUACACUGUCCGUGUUGGCGCCACUUACAGAACAGGUGGUUCCCGGUUGGCCAGCUUACAGCUGGGGCUGACAUGUAGGCAUGAUGCCUUUAUCUUGGUAUCCGUGUCUGUGGCAAUACAAAGUAAAUAAUGCUUGUCACCCUUGCAUAUGUCGCUUAGCUACAAACUUCUAAGGACAGAUGAUUGCAUAAGAAAGAGUAAGAAUAAACUCUGUAUCUCUAGUCUUGCCUGACUUCCUCAGCCCCAGACUGACAUUUUUCAGCCAAUUGACCUUCCUGUCUAAAAGUUUGGUAAUGAGAGAAGCACUGAAUAUAUGCCAGAUAUGGCUCUAAAUGUUUCAUGUAUAUGAACUUAUAUCAUUCUCAGAAUGGCCCCAUGAAGUGUCUCUAUCAAUAUCCCCAUUUUAUAGAUGGAGAGUUGAGGCAUCAAUUCAGUUCAGUCACUCAGUUGUGUCUGAGGCUUUGCGACCCCAUGGACUGCAGCACACCAGGCCUCCCUGUCCAUCACCAACUCCCGGAGUUUACUCAAAUUCAUGUCCGUUGAGUCAGUGAUGACAUCCAACCAUCUCAUCCUCUGUCGUCCCCUUCUCCUCCCACCUUCAAUCUUUUCCAGCAUCAGGGUCUUUUCAAAUGAGUCAAUUCUUCACAUCAGGUGGCCAAAGCUUUGGAGUUUCAGCUUCAGCAUCAGUCCUUCCAAUGAAUAUUCAGGACUGAUUUCCUUUAGGAUGGACUGGUUGGAUCUCCUUGCAGUCCAAGGGACUCUCAAGAGUCUUCUCCAAUACCACAGUUCAAAAGCAUCAAUUCUUUGGCGCUCAGCUUUUUAUAGUCCAACUCUCACAUCCAUACAUGACUACUGGAAAAACCAUAGCUUUGACUAGACGGACCUUUGUUGGCAAAGUAAUGUCUCUUCUUUUUAAUAUGCUGUCUUGUCUGAUUGUAAUUUUUCUCCAAGAAGCAAGCAUCUUUUAAUUUCAUGGCUGCAAUCACCAUCUGCAAUGAUUUUGGAGCCCAGAAAAAUAAAGUCUGUCACUGUUUCCAUUGCUUCCCCAUCUAUUUGCCAUGAAGUGAUGGGACCAGAUGCCAUGAUCUUAGUUUUCUGAAUGUUGAGCUUUAAGCCAACCUUUUCACUCUCCUCUUUCACUUUCAUCAAGAGGCUCUUCAGUUCCUCUUCUCUUUUUGCCCUAAGGGGUGGUGUCAUCUGCAUAUCUGAGGUUAUUGAUAUUUCUCCCAGCAAUCUUGAUUCCAGCUUGUGCUUCCUUCAGCCCAGUGUUUCUCAUGAUGUACUCUGCAUAUAAGUUAAAUAAGCAGGGUGACAAUAUACAGCCUUGACAUACUCCUUUCCUGAUUUGAAACCAGUCUGUUAUUCCAUGUCCAG
ensembl:lncRNA